rnacentral:rRNA from 1 species
AUACGGAGGGUGCAAGCGUUACUCGGAAUCACGGGGCGUAAAGCGCGCGCAGGCGGUCUUUUAAGUUGGAUGUGAAAGCCUACAGCUCAACUGUAGAACUGCAUCCAAAACUAUUAGACUAGAGUCUGGGAGGGGAAGAUGGAAUUAGUUGUGUAGGGGUAAAAUCCGUAGAGAUAACUAGGAAUACCAAAAGCGAAGGCAAUCUUCUGGAACAUUACUGACACUGAGGCGCGAAAGCGUGGGGAGCAAACAGGAUUAGAUACCCGGGUAGUCC